rnacentral:rRNA from 1 species
AUUGAACGCUGGCGGCAGGCCUAACACAUGCAAGUCGAACGAGUGGCGGACGGGUGAGUAAUGUCUGGGGAACUGCCUGAUAGAGGGGGAUAACUACUGGAAACGGUAGCUAAUACCGCAUACUAUCGGAUGUGCCCAUAUGGGAUUAGCUAGUAGGUGGGGUAACGGCUCACCUAGGCGACGAUCACUAGCUGGUCUGAGAGGAUGAUCAGCCACAGUGGAACUGAGACACGGCCCAGACUCCGACGGGAGGCAGCAGUGGGGAAUAUUGCACAAUGGGCGCAAGCCUGAUGCAGCCAUGCCGCGUGUAUGAAGAAGGCCUUAGGGUUGUAAAGUACUUUCAGCGGGGAGGCGUUACCCGCAGAAGAAGCACCGGCUAACUCCGUGCCAGCAGCCGCGGUAAUUC